ACCGAAGCCCGUAACCGCCCCCGGGCGUGACGGGCGGCUGGCAUCCUCCUUCCGAGGGGUGUAUGGCGCAGCGUAGGCCGGCCUUCGGGUCGCGAAGUCCUAACGUUGCGGCGGACCACCCCUUGGGCAACUCAGUGGGGGCAAUUGGAUAGCCCGUGGGGCACCUUCGGCGGCUUCAGCCCCGGGGGUGCACUGGGCUGGGCGUUGGGCUUCGGUCCAUGUCCCGACCUCUUAACUCAUCCUGACCCCCUCUUUAUCGAGGGUCGCCGGUGGUCCCUCAUCCUUUCGGGGCGGGGGUGACCUUCCGGUCAAGAUAGUUACCUGGUUGAUUCUGCCAGUAGUCAUAUGCUUGUCUCAA
rnacentral:misc_RNA from 1 species